UUUGUUUACAGCAAAGUUAGAAAAAAAAAACAGUAUUUUUCUCAGAUAAAUAAAAUGAAGAUAAAAGGUUAGACUGUUCAGAUUGUGUGAGAAUAAGAGAUGUAGUCACGGUGUGUGUGGACAGCAAGUCUUCAAUAUUCACGAGCUAUAGACAUGCUAACAAUCUGGAACUGUAUGGAACAAAAGUUCUGGAUUCCAUAAUAAUCAGUAUCAA